rnacentral:rRNA from 1 species
UACGGAGGAUCCAAGCGUUAUCCGGAUUUAUUGGGUUUAAAGGGUGCGUAGGCGGUCGCGCAAGUCGGAUGUGAAAUCUCAGGGCUCAACCCUGAAACUGCAUUCGAUACUGCGUGGCUAGAGUGCUGGAGGGGAGACUGGAAUUUACGGUGUAGCAGUGAAAUGCGUAGAUAUCGUAAGGAAGACCAGUGGCGAAGGCGAGUCUCUGGACAGCAACUGACGCUGAGGCACGAAGGCCAGGGGAGCAAACGGG